rnacentral:tRNA from 1 species
UAGGGGAUUAGUUUAAUUGGCAAAACAGCGGGUUUUGAUCCCGCUAGCGCGAGGUUCGAAUCCUCCAUCCCCCGCCAA